rnacentral:rRNA from 1 species
GAUGAACGCUGGCGGCGUGCCUAAUACAUGCAAGUCGAGCGGACGGACGCGGAGCUUGCUUCUUUGUUGUUAGCGGCGGACGGGUGAGUAACACGUGGAUCACCUACCUAUAAUACUGGUAUAACUUCGGGACACCGGAGCUAAUCCCGGAUAAUCUUUUGCACCGUAUUGUUCAAAAGUGAAAGACGGUCUUGCUGUCACUUAUAGCUGGAUCUGCGCUGCAUUAGCUAGUUGGUAAGGUAACGGCUUUCCACGGCUACGAUGCCUAGCCGACCUGAUAGAGUGGUCGGCCACACGGGAACGGAGACACGGUCCUGACGCCUACGAGAGGCAGCAGUAGCGAAUCGGCCGCAGUGGGCGAAAGCCUUACGGAGCAACGCCGCGUGAGUGAUGAAGGUCUUCGGAUCGUAAAACUCUGUUAUGAGGGAAGAACAGAUGUGGAAGUAACUGUACACAGCGUGACGGUACCUAAUCAGAAAGCCACGGCUAACUACGUG